rnacentral:SRP_RNA from 1 species
GCCUGGUGUGGUGGCAUGUGCUUGUAGUCCCAGCUGCUCGGUAGGCUGAGGCUGGAGGAUUGCUUGAGUCCAGCAUUUCCGGGCUGUAGUGUGCUAUGCCAGUCGGCUGUCUGCACUAAGUUUGGCAUUAAUAUAGUGACCUCCUGGGAGCAGGGACCACCAGGUUGCCUAAGGAGGGGUGAACCAACCCAGGUCAGAAACGGAACAGGUCAAAACUCCCGUGCUGAUCAGUAGUGGGAUUCCACCUGUGAAUAGCCACUGCACUCCAGCCUGAGCAACAUAGCGAGACCCUGUCUCU